AUUGAACGCUGGCGGAAUGCUUUACACAUGCAAGUCGAACGAUGAACCUUAGCUUGCUAGGGGGAUUAGUGGCGAACGGGUGAGUAACAUAUCGGAACGUACCUAGUAAUGGGGGAUAACUAGUCGAAAGAUUAGCUAAUACCGCAUACGCCCUGAGGGGGAAAGUAGGGGAUCUUCGGACCUUACGUUAUUAGAGCGGCCGAUAUCUGAUUAGUUAGUUGGUGGGGUAAAGGCCUACCAAGGCGAGGAUCAGUAGCUGGUCUGAGAGGACGACCAGCCACACGGGAACUGAGACACGGUCCAGACUGCUACGGGAGGAAGCAGUGGGGAAUUUUGGACAAUGGGGGCAACCCUGAUCCAGCCAUUCCGCGUGAGUGAAGAAGGCCUUCGGGUUGUAAAGCUCUUUCGCAAGGGAAGAAAACUUACAUUCUAAUAAAGUGUGAGGCUGACGGUACCUUGAUAAGAAGCACCGGCUAACUACGUGCCAGCCGCCGCGGUAA
rnacentral:rRNA from 1 species